ACAGUUGUCAUGGAAACCUACUGUGCUGCUUUCAGUAGAGCAGCAAAAAACAUCGAAUGUUCUAGAAGAGUGAUGGCUUUUAUGGAUUUGAGUGUGUAGGCCCACAGUGUCACAUGGGGAAGCACUCAGCAAGAGGAAUCUCAAAGGAUGUUGAGGACAACCUUAAUAGACCACAUAAUCUGUGGAGCUCACUGCCACAAGAUUUGACUUGACAGGAGUUGACAGCAAAGGCAUCCUCGCGGCCAUACCAGCACAGCAGAUAACAACAACCAGGAGUCAAGGCAACAGAAUGAGGAAGCAAAACUAGCAGCUAACUGGAAUGUCAGAAGAAAGCUAAGCUAAGCCCUGUGCACCCCAUUUUUGUACCCCAAGUUGGGUUAUCUUUCACCCAAUGACUGGCUAGUACCCCAAAGUUGCCCCUUUCAGUUGGUCAGAUGCAUCACCCCAUAAAUUGACGUAGAUCGUA